GCCUUCGUAGUGUAGGGGUCAGCACGCUGGACGUGUAUUCCAGUAGUCCGUGGUUCAAGUCCCGGAGAAGGCA
rfam:Stegodyphus mimosarum contig4611, whole genome shotgun sequence.